UAUAUUUUUAUGUAUUAUUAUAGAUUUACUGAUUGUGUUACAAGUUUAGCGUAUAUGUCAUGAAGCAUCAGCUUUAAGAUUAGAAGACAGUAAGUUGUUGUGUUCAUUCUUUUGAUGGAAUAAUGUCCGUGUAUAAAGUGAUAUUUGGUAACCCAUGACUGAAAGGAAAGGGGUAGCCAUUUUGUUAGAGACAAAAAAUUUAGGAUGGAGAGACGAGAAGUUUUUGUUAUAGGAUUGUAUGUUGUUUUAAGCUUAGCAUUAAGAGUUCUUGUGGUUUUUUUCAAUAGCAAUUCAAAAUUUAGUCAGUUUGGUGUACAUUUAAUUUUGGGAGUUUCUUUUGUAAUUGAUCUGAUAUUCUUCAUAAUUGCUCUGGUGUAUUUCUCCAUCUGGCCAAAAAGAAUUUAAGGUAUGUAAAACCUCAUAAGAUUGUCAAUCAUGUCAUUUAAAUGAGUUUCAUUAACCAUAUGAGGUUAUAAAAGCAGGUAAUGCAAUAUUUCAACAUACUGUGAACCAACUGUUUAUAAAUUAUAGUGAGGUUGGUAACUCAGAAUUUUGUAAUUGUGUUGAAUAUAUUAUAUAACGUGGAAUUUCUCUUUUUAAAAAUUACAUAUUUGAAUCUAAGUAAUUUCAGUUAAAUUCCCAUUUUUUUGUGAGGGAGAAUUGAAGUCUCCCUUGAAUUUUGCUCUAAGUUGUCCCUGCCACAUAAAUAAACGGACUGCUAUUAAAUCUUAGUCCUAAAAAUGUUUGAAUAAGCUGCACAAUAUUUCUUAAUAGUAAAGUAUUGAAAAGAGUUAUUCAUUACUCAUUGAGAGCAUGUUGCCAAAAAUGGAGGACAUAACACAUUUUCUUUGGUCUGAGGUUGCAUUGUUGAGUAUGAUAUUGUUGGUGAUGAUUUUCAUUGUGGUGAUCGGUGCAAUGAUUUUGAGAACUGUCAGAAAAUGGAACAGAAUUUUUUAUUCUUGGAAUGAAAGACUAAUGCAGUAGACAUACAUUUUUUUGCAUUGAACAUUUAAUUUCCAUCUGUGGUUUGCUUUAAAUAUUGUCACUAAAACUGCAACUGUAACAGGUAUGUAUGAGUCAUUAAAAAUUUGACAUGUUGAAGAUUUGUUUAAUUAAAAUAGAAUGUGAAAAAAUCCUUCUCAUUAAAAAUUCAAAUAAAUAUUUAAAAAAUAUAAUUAGGCAAUUUAUUAGGAUAAAUCAGAGAGAGGAGAUCAAGAGAAGUAGUUAGUACAUUUUACCCAAGAUAAACACAUAGAUUGGUUGUUUCAUUGUUUUGUUUGAAAAUAAAAAACUAUGCUUUUGGUUUAUAGGUUGCAAUGGGAAGGAGGAAAAGGAAACCGGCAUCGGGAGAUUCAUGUACUGCAACUGCAAAGAAGUUAAUCAAAACAUGUAGUACUACUGAAACUGCAAAGAAGUUAAUCAAAACUGGUGAUUUUGUUUGGGCAAAACUGCCUUCAACUUCCUACCUCUGGCCUGUAAAAAUAGAAAAAGUGGAUAUUUCAGAUGAUCAUGAAGAAUAUCAUGUGUAUUGUAAGGCAGAUACUGUAAUAUAUUUUGCGGAAAAAAAAUGCAACAUUGCAAGCAUUUCAAAACGAUGUCAAGUGGGCCUUGGAAUCUAUAGAAGCACAACCAGGCGAUCACCCUCAUCAGUUAGAUGUAGUAGAGUUUAAUGGCAGAGAGUCAUAUAAAGGAUCUGGUUCUGUUGAUGCAGUGAUUGAGACUGUCCUUGAAGAUGCAUAUGCAGG